UUACUUAAGCUAAAGAUCCCUGCAGUGCUCAAAAUACUGUGGGGUUUGCUUAUCAAGUAGGUUACCACCAGUACAAUUGUGAUAUGAGAGUGGGGUUAGGGAUGUGCUAAAUCUGGGACACAUAAGGAUAACAGUUUGAAAGGGCUGCUUGACCCAGUCCAUGGAGCCCAGGGGCAUAGAAGGAGAUGCAGCUUGAAAGUGCUGCUUCAUCCAGCCCUAGAUUCCCUCCAUCCAACUCCAUUUCUUGGUGUUUUCCGGCUGUGUCUUUGUAAAACAGGCUGGCAGAAAAUUGCGUGGUGAGAAUGUCAUUGCUGUAAUUGAGCACCGAUUCUAGAAAGGCCCUGUAAGGGUAACAGUGUUGCUUUGGCUUAUGAGGCAGUCUCCCAGCGUGAUAUCCAACUGAUUGAAAAUAGAGGCUACGGGGUAAUUCACCCGGCCCACCGUGGCGUCCUUGGCGAGUUCAGUUCCGUCUCCUUUUACAAUCUUGCAACACAGGUACAGCAGUGUGUUGUUUGAAUCCAAAUCAUCUAUGCCAUUCCCUGCUAUAAAAAAGUCAAUGGGGGCAGACUCCAUAAACAGCCUAUAUAGGUGGCACCUCAGUGUAGAUGCUUUUCUCGAUGCUGGUCUGCGUAGGGGCUAUUUGGAACAAGUCUAGUUCAGAUCUGAUGCACUCUUCAGACGCGCAGCGAACAAAAGCCAUGUUGAUUAAAAUCUCUCUCUUUUACCAGGCAGAGACCAUUUCCUCUUUCGCCCAGGCUUCCUCUUGGCCGGGCCUGCGUGUCAAAGCCCUUCUUUAAAAGGGUUUUGAGGGACCUGUGUGUCACGGGUAUGAGGCAUUUCUCUUUCUCCUCCUCCUUUUAAUGUACAUCAUCCCCGAUCCUUGCUGUGAGGCUGUAUUCCCCACCUUCUCCAGAACAGCGCGGGAGCCAUGACCUACCAACCACAUCUUUAGCUAUGUUUUGAGCAGUAGUUUUUAUGUGGGGUUUAAUAAUCUUUAGCCCCCUCCUCAAAAGCGGUACGGCCUUUCAAAAGAGGCUACGAAAUAUUCCACCCACACCAGCCCUGUACAUCAUGGGAGCCCCGUGAUAUCCAGGAAGGGCGUAUCCAGCCUGGGCUUUGUAAUAGUUCCUGUAGAUGGUGGGGUGGUUGUAAUUUUUUAAGAUCGCCAUAAUAGUGUUUUGCUUUUUAGAAACCUCGCUCUCUCUGCGGAUGCAGAUGCAGCUUGACAAUCACCUUGCCGAAGCGAAAUGAGACACGUCUGUUCUGAUCUGUCUUUAUUUCAAUGGUGAUGGUGUCGAUGUGGUGUUUACUGACAGGGACGUAAUGAGGCUUAUCGUAGAUGAUGGUGACAAACUCAUUGUUCCUUCCUUGGACAGGAUGCAGCGUAACAGGGGAACAGAAAAUUCCCCCGGAAACUGGUGUUCUACGAUAUCCGUGUACAGAUACAAGGAGUUAAAACCCCCUGUGAUGUCUGCCAAGAAGGGGAAUUUUUGGACGCUGCACUUGGUACCGUCUUUUACUAACACAAGUAUGGAGGAGGACACAUUCAUAUUGACACAUUUAAAUAAGUUUUAUUAAUCACCUGGUUUAACACAAUCUUUUACAGCUGCCUGUAAAAAUGGACGCCAUUACCCCUACCAUAAGGGAGUCUGACUUGGUUCAUUCUUCCAAUGGGGGGCUUCUACGAGGGCGAAACCCAUCCAGCUCGAAGAAGUGUGUGUGGUGGGGGUUUACUUUGUAAAUUAUCAGCUUGGUCCAGGACUGCCUCUGCUGCUCUCUCAAGGCCCAAUGGUACCUCUGUUUCUAGAAGAGAACUGGUCUGAGACAGAUCUCUCUCCAGCAGCCUCUGUGAUAAAGGUAGAAGAUGCACACACAAAAAUAUUAGCUUCUCAGCAAUGUCCUUGUCAUCUUUAAUUGUUCUCUUGAAUCCACCCAUUCUUUCACA